rnacentral:rRNA from 1 species
GCGAUUGAGGGACUGGGGCUCUGGACUGUUGGAUCCUAUUUCGGGGAAAACUUGGGAUAAUCAUGGUCAUAACUGUUUCCUGAAAUUCCGUGCCAGCAGCCGCGGUAAUACGGGAGUGGCAAGCGUUAUCCGGAAUUAUUGGGCGUAAAGCGUCCGCAGGCGGCCCUGAAAGUCUGUCGUUAAAGCGUGGAGCUCAACUCCAUUUCAGCGAUGGAAACUACAGGGCUUGAGUGUGGUAGGGGCAGAGGGAAUUCCCGGUGUAGCGGUGAAAUGCGUAGAUAUCGGGAAGAACACCAGUGGCGAAGGCGCUCUGCUGGGCCAUARYUGACGCUCAUGGACGAAACCCAGGGGAGCGAAAGGGAUUAAAUACCCCUGUAGUCCUGGCCGUAAACAAUGAACACUAGGUGUCGGGGGAAUCGACCCCCUCGGGGUCGUAGCCAACGCGUUAAGUGUUCCGCCUGGGGAGUACGCACGCAAGUGUGAAACUCAAAGGAAUUGACGGGGGCCCGCACAAGCGGUGGAGUAUGUGGUUUAAUUCGAUGCAACGCGAAUAACCUUACCAGGGUUUGACAUCCUGCGAAUCCCUUGGAAACGAGKGGGUGCCUUCGGGAGCGCAGAGACAGGYGGUGCAUGGCUGUCGUCAGCUCGUGUCGUGAGAUGUUGGGCUAAGUCCCGCAACGAGCGCACCCACGUUCGUUAGUUGCCAGCAUUCAGUUGGGCACUCUWGCGAGACCGCCGGUGAUAAACCGGAGGAAGGUGWGGAUGACGUCAAGUCAUCAUGCCCCUUACAUCCUGGGCUACACACGUACUACAAUGCUCCGUACAAAGGGUAGCAAGCUCGUGAGAUAUAGCAAAUACCAUUCGCUGUGGAUCAGAUCAGAUCAUAGUCUGCAGAUUGCGUACGCGAAGGAGGAAUCCCUAGUAAUCGCCGGUCAGCAAGUUGCGCAGAAUACGUUUCCGGACUUCGUACACCCCGGGAGUCACACCAUGGAAGUGGGCCACGCGCGAAGUCGUUACUCCAACCAAGGUGGAGGAGGACGAAGAAGGGGGGGGAUCUGCUCGGGGCGAAGUGGCAACAAGGUAGCCGUACCGGAAGGUG